rnacentral:snRNA from 1 species
AUGCUUUGGCAGCACAUAUACCAAAAUCAAACUGAUACAGAGAAGAUUAGCAUGGACCCUCCACAAGGAUGACAUGGAAAUUCAUGAAGUAUUCCAUUUUUUU